UUAUAUAAAGUCAUGGUAAGCAAGCUUCC
rnacentral:piRNA from 1 species